ACGCUCGACCCUACGGAGGCAGCAGUGGGGAAUAUUGCACAAUGGGGGAAACCCUGAUGCAGCAACGCCGCGUGAAGGAAGACGGUUUUCGGAUUGUAAACUUCUGUUCUUAGUGAAGAUAGUGACGGUAGCUAAGGAGCAAGCCACGGCUAACUACGUGCAGCAGCCGCGGUAAUCUGAGCGGGCUGGCAAGGC
rnacentral:rRNA from 1 species